rnacentral:misc_RNA from 1 species
UCUCGGCUUAUCACCGGCAGUCCCCCUAGAGUGCCCAACUUAAUGAUGGCAACUAAGGGCAAGGGUUGCGCUCGUUGCGGGACUUAACCCAACAUCUCACGACGCGAGCUGACGACAACCAUGCGCCACCUGUGAACCGGCCCCAAAGGGGAAGGACUGUUUCCAGCCCGGUCCGGCCCAUGUCAAGCCUUGGUAAGGUUCUUCGCGUUGCAUCGAAUUAAUCCGCAUGCUCCGCCGCUUGUGCGGGCCCCCGUCAAUUCCUUUGAGUUUUAGCCUUGCGGCCGUACUCCCCAGGCGGGGCACUUAAUGCGUUAGCUUCGGCACGGAGGGAGUCGACACCCCCCACACCUAGUGCCCAUCGUUUACAGCGUGGACUAC